GCAGCUGCCUUGCCGAGAGGUGAGGUAAGCCGGGGGGUCCAAGCGUUAAGCGGAAGUACUUGGCGUGAGGCUUGCGGAGUCGGUUGGUUAAGCGAUAGGUGAAAGCCCUGGUCUCAACCUAGGAAUAGCAUUUCGAACUGGCGAACGAGAUGCUUGUAGAGGGGGGUAGAAUUCAUGGUGUAGCGGUGAAAUGCGUAGAGAGCUGGAGGAAUACCGGUGGCGAAGGCGGCCCCCUGGACAAAGACUGACGCUCAUGCACGAAAGCGUGGGGAGCAAACAGGAUUAGAUACCCUUGUAGUC
rnacentral:rRNA from 1 species